rnacentral:rRNA from 1 species
UACGAAGGGUGCAAACGUUGCUCGGAAUUAUUGGGCGUAAAGGGUGCGUAGGCGGCGCGGUAAGUCGGGUGUGAAAUCUCGGGGCUUAACUCCGAAACUGCAUUCGAUACUGCGGUGCUUGAGGACUGGAGAGGAGACUGGAAUUCAUGGUGUAGCAGUGAAAUGCGUAGAGAUCAUGAGGAAGACCAGUGGCGAAGGCGGGUCUCUGGACAGUUCCUGACACUGAGACACGAAGGCCAGGGGAGCAAACGGG